rnacentral:lncRNA from 1 species
CACGAACGUGAAGCGUUUUUCGCGGUUCUGCCGCCCGCGCCAGCGAGACGCCUUGGCGCCUCCGGCGCGUGUCUCCCCGGGCCCGGCCGCCGACGCCCCGGGCCCCGCGGUCCCGGGCGCGCGCCGAGGGAUGCUGUCCCCGGGCUUCACCUGGCUCGCUCGGGCCUUGCCCGGGGCCCGCGGCUUGCGGGGCCCCGGGGGCCGCUCGGCGUGCUCGGACGACGAGCUCUCCUCCAGGUCCAACGCGUCGGUUUCGCGCGGCCCGGCCGCUGCGGGCUCGCCAGCCGCGCCGUUGAGCUGCGUGGGCAGCGGCUCGGUCUCGGCGCUCGCGGAGCCCGCGCCGCGCUCGGGGCCCAGGCCAUUAGGCCUGCGCUCGGCGGCCCCGGCUGGCGCGGCGGCGGCGGCGGCGGCGGUGGUGGUGGCGUCCGGACCCCUGCGGCUUGGCGGCACGCGCGUGCGGCGCUUGGCGAUCUGGUAGAUGCGCACGUAGACCAGGAUCAUGAUGAGGCAAGGCACGAAGAAGGAGCCGGUGCAGGAGGCGAUCACGUACCACUUCUGGUCGUUGAUUUCGCAGCGCUGCCGCCCGCCGCCGCCGCCGCCGCCCUUCCUCUCGAUGGAGAUGAGCGGCGGGAAGGAGAUGACGGCCGAGAUGACCCACACGGUGACGAUGAUGGCCUUGAUGCGGCGCGGCGUGCGCUUCAGGUUGUACUCGAUGGCCUGCGUGAUGGACCAGUAGCGGUCCAGGCUGAUGGCGCACAGGUGCGCGAUGGACGACGUGCAGAAGAGCACGUCGAGCGCCAGGUAGAUCUCGCACCACGCCUGGCCAAAAUACCAGUAGCCCAUGACCUCGUUGGCCAGCGAGAAGGGGAUGACAAGCGUGGCCACCAGGAUGUCGGCCCGAGGGCCAGCGACACCAGGAAGAGGUUUUGGGGCGCCUUGAGCGCGCGGCUGGUGAACACGGCGAUGAUGACCAGCACGUUGCCGAACACGGUGAGCAGCAUGAGCAGGCCGGCCAGGCACACCAGCGUGAGCGUCACCUGCAGGGAGUACGGGCUGGCCCGGGCGCCGCCCCCUGGCGCCUCGCUCCCGUUCCAGCUCCCGUUGCCCGCGUCCGGCUCCAGGGAGCCCAUGGGCGCGAAGCUGCCCUCGGCCAGCGGCUGCUCCUGGCGGAACAUGAACGCGGGCGCCCGCUCGCCCGGGCCUGCUGCCAGCAGCCUUCCGGCCCGGCGUCCGUGGGUCCUCCUCUUCCUCCCGCGCCCCGCGCGCCCCGCAGCGCCUCACAUAGGGAGGGGGCCGCGGGGAGGCCGCGCCCGAGCUGGGAGGGCGCUAGUGGGGGCUCAUGGUCCCGGCUCCCGCGAACAGCGCCGGCCGCCGCUGCGGGCGCUCCGCGUGGGCGCCUUCUCUCUCGGGGCCCCUGUACACGGCCAAGUUUUGUUUGUCCGCCAAGGGAGAGAUUAG